CUACCCAGUUUAGUAUAUAUACUAAAAUUGGAACGAUACAGAGAAGAUUAGCAUGGCUCCUGUGCAAGGAUGAUACGCAAAACCGUGAAGCGUUCUACAUUUUU
rnacentral:snRNA from 1 species